rnacentral:rRNA from 1 species
GACGGAGGGUGCUAGCGUUGUUCGGAAUCACUGGGCGUAAAGGGCGCGUAGGCGGCCUCAGGUGUCGGAUGUGAAAGCCCGGGGCUCAACCCCGGAGGUGCAUCCGAAACUCUGGGGCUGGAGGUCGGAAGAGGAGGGUGGAAUACCCAGUGUAGAGGUGAAAUUCGUAGAUAUUGGGUGGAACACCGGUGGCGAAAGCGGCUCUCUGGUCCGGACCUCGAGCGUGAGGCGCGAAAGCGUGGGGAGCAAACAGG